GAUGAACGCUGGCGGCGUGCCCAAUACAUGCAAGUCGAGCGAAUGGAUUAAGAGCUUGCUCUUAUGAAGUUAGCGGCGGACGGGUGAGUAACACGUGGGUAACCUGCCCAUAAGACUGGGAUAACUCCGGGAAACCGGGGCUAAUACCGGAUAACAUUUUGAACCGCAUGGGUCGAAACUUAAAGGCGGCUUCGGCUGUCACUUAUGGAUGGACCCGCGUCGCAUUAGCUAGUUGGUGAGGUAACGGGUCACCAAGGCAACGAUGCGUAGCCGACCUGAGAGGGUGAUCGGCCACACUGGGACUGAGACACGGCCCAGACUCCUACGGGAGGCAGCAGUAGGGAAUCUUCCGCAAUGGACGAAAGUCUGACGGAGCAACGCCGCGUGUGUGAUGAAGGCUUUCGGGUCGUAAAACUCUGUUGUUAGGGAAGAACAAGUGCUAGUUGAAUAAGCUGGCACCUUGACGGUACCUAACCAGAAAGCCACGGCUAACUACGUGCCAGCCGCCGCUGUAA
rnacentral:rRNA from 1 species